CGUCCUGGAGGGGCCCGGCGGCGGCGGCGGCUCCUCAUCCAGUAAAGCUAAACUCUUCUCCAGUGCAUCAUGAACGGGGAGGAAUGUCCGGGGUGCAAAUAGAACGUGUGUCACAUUUCAGAAGAAAUGAGGCGACGUUGCGGAGGUCCAGGCGGUUGGCCCGGUGGAGGUCCUGGAGGAGACGGUCCCGGCGGUGGACGGCUGGGGGGUCCGGCGGUGGAGGUCCGAAGGAGGGUCGUGAUUAGACCAACCAGCUCCUCAUCCAUGGAAGGAUUGAAGGAGUCACUGGGGAUGAAGAUCACUGCUCAGGGGCUGACGACCACUCAUCUUUCCGGAGAAGCGUCCUCAUGGUGCAGGCGGUCAAACCUCCACCUCUUUGAAGAGACCAAGCAGCUUGAUGACUGACUGGUUCUUUAUACUCAAGACCUCGUCCCGGAGCAGAGGACAGACCUAAGGCCUGCAGCGCAGCCGACUAGAGUCUCCAUGUGGAACCGGUUCAAUUAAAUUGACCUCUCCCUCAGGCGACUUAAAGGGAGACCAGAUGUGCGGCAGCUGGGUGUCAUGGUGCAGAGACCCAACGCUGUACUGAACUACACCAGUGUGUCCUACUCCCAUAAACCCUGAGGAUCCCUGGAUGGCUACACCAGCACAUUAAUCCACACCCAACAUCAACACACAGUGCACACUCUAUAGAGCUCGUAAGUCCGCCCCUUGCGGCGGGACCUUGUGAGAUCGUAAGAUAUGACUGGGUUUCAAUGGAGAGAAAGUAAUUAUUUUCUCCAUUUUAUGUUGCACCACAUUUUGGGGGAAGAAUGUUUGAAUCAAUCUUUGUCAUUUUUUUCUGUAAUCCCAGCUGUUGUAUUUUAACACGGUAGCUGGCAACCCUCUUUAUAGGGAGCGACUAGAGGGACGAGGCUGGAAGCAAACCUGAGCCUGGAUCUUAACCUUCUUUCUAAACCAAAUGGCGCAAUUUAACCGCAAAUAAAGUGAGGCCUAAAGUAACUUGACUCUCUUACCUAAACUUGCUUGCCUAAACUCGCUUGUCUAAACUCGCUUGCAUAAAACCUAAACUCGCUUGCAUAAAACCUGAACUUGCUUGGCUAAACUCGCGUCGCCUGCCUAAUACCUGAACUCGCUUGCCUGAACUCGCUUGCCUAAACUCGCUUGCCUAAACUCGCUUGCCUAAACUCGCUUGCCUAAACUCGCUUGCCUAAACUCGCUUGCCUAAACUCGCUUGCCUAAUACCUGAACUCGCUUGCAUAAAACCUAAACUCGCUUAGCUUGACUCGCUUGCCUGUACUCGCUUGCAUAAAACCUAAACUCGCUUGCAUAAAACCUAAACUCGCUUAGCUUGACUCGCUUGCCUGUACUCGCUUGGCUAAACUCGCUUAAUACCUGAAGUCGCUUGCCUAAUACCUGAAGUCGCUUGCCUAAAACCUAAACUUGCUUGUCCAAACAUGUUACACAAAGUUAACCAUCCAUAAUCUUUAACCCAAACCAGACUUGUCCCUGGGUCGCUCCACUUUAAUUUAGAAGUUUCUUCUUUUACCUCAUCUGCGUUUUGAGUUUCAUUCUUUGAGGGCUUGAAGUGCUUUGGAGGAUAUUUGAACCUUUCUAUGUGUAAUCCGGCCAAAUGUUCAGUGUCCUUACAUGUAAUGUCUAUGGUCUGACGAUAAUCUGACCUCUUCAUGAAGCAGAAUGUGUGUGAAUGUUGUCCCGUGAGCUCCAGGCUCUCUGUGGGCCUGUCAACGUCUCUUUAGCAAAAGGUUGGAGAGUGAAA